UCUAAGAGUGGCAGAAUAAGUGCCAUGAACUUAAAAUUCAUUUAUGAAUCAAAUUUAAAUUUCCUUAGAA
rnacentral:tRNA from 1 species